rnacentral:tmRNA from 1 species
CCCCUUCAAAUCCCCGCCAACUCCCCCUAUAUCCAAGAUGUUCCCUCGGGAACUAUGGGCAUAAACGCGCAUGUAAUAAGCGGAUCGGACCCGGGGGCGGUACCCGGCGGCUCCACCAAACAUCCCUUGUUGGGGGAUCAUGGGGCCGAAACAGGAUCGACGAACGUGUAAAGAUGUUGCUUUGUCCCGGUGAGAUACCACCGUUAUCGGUUCACAUAGUACAAUUGCCAACAACAAUCGUGCUCCGGUUGCCCUGGCUGCGUAAGCAGUCCGGAAUACCGAAAUCUAAGUCCUUGCGCUUAGCGGCGUAAGGCGGGGUUCGCAGGUACCUGGCAACAGAAACCUGCACU